AACGAACGCUGGCGGCACGCCUAACACAUGCAAGUCGAACGAAGCAUAAGAGCUUGCUCUUAUGACUGAGUGGCGCACGGGUGAGUAACACGUGGGAAUCUGCCUAUUGGUGGGGAAUAACUUUUGGAAACGAAAGCUAAUACCGCAUAAGCCCUAAGGGGGAAAGAGUUAUCGACAAUAGAUCAGCCCUGGCUAGAUUAGCUAGUUGGUGAGGUAAGAGCUCACCAAGGCUACGAUCUAUAGCUGAUCUGAGAGGAUGGUCAGCCACACUGGGACGGAGACACGGCCCAGACUCCUACGGGAGGCAGCAGUGGGGAAUAUUGGACAAUGGGGGAAGCCCUGAUCCGGCGAUGCCGCGUGAGUGAAGAAGGCCUUCGGGUUGUAAAGCUCUUUCAGAGGGGAUGAUAAUGACGGUACCCUCAGAAGAAGCACCGGCUAACUUCGUGCCAGCCGCCGCAGUAA
rnacentral:rRNA from 1 species